UACGUAGGGGGCAAGCGUUGUCCGGAAUCAUUGGGCGUAAAGAGCGUGUAGGCGGCUUGGCAAGUCUGACGUGAAAGCCCGCGGCUCAACCGCGGAUCGUCGUUGGAAACUGCCUCGCUAGAGUCCGGAAGAGGAGAGCGGAAUUCCUGGUGUAGCGGUGGAAUGCGCAGAUAUCAGGAGGAACACCGGUGGCGAAGGCGGAUCUCUGGGCCUUACCUGACGCUCAGGUGCGAAAGCUAGGGGAGCGAACAGG
rnacentral:rRNA from 1 species